rnacentral:lncRNA from 1 species
GAUCCGGAAGACUUUUACAACUUUGGUUUGCAAAUGCUGGGAUUAGAGGCAGCAAGAGACAACUGGGGUGACCUGGAGGUGUCUGUGAAGGAUCCUGGGAGCUCCGUGAGAGAAAUGAUCUCUUGCUGGCAGAAUGGCAGAAUGGACUAUUUUGGCUUGCCUUGGAGAGUGGGAGGAGGACUGCGAUCUGGAGGUGUGACAUCUCCAACCAGGUCCUCCACCGUGGUUCUUAGAGUCCUGAGGUGGGGACAACAUCCAGCAACAGUGCAAAAUGUCCCAAGAUCUGGAAAAAUGUUCGUAUCUUUUUUAUUUUUUUCUCCCUCGUGUCUAUGGACAUUUAAAAAAUGAGCAAAAUUAGCAAAUUCGUGGAACUGAAAAAGUAAUGUCCUACAUGCUGUGUGUAUGUGUCCAUGCAAUACGAAUUACAUGCUAUGAAAUUUACCA